rnacentral:rRNA from 1 species
UACGUAGGGCGCAAGCGUUAUCCGGAAUUAUUGGGCGUAAAGAGCUCGUAGGCGGUUUGUCGCGUCUGCCGUGAAAGUCCGGGGCUCAACUCCGGAUCUGCGGUGGGUACGGGCAGACUAGAGUGAUGUAGGGGAGACUGGAAUUCCUGGUGUAGCGGUGAAAUGCGCAGAUAUCAGGAGGAACACCGGUGGCGAAGACGGGUCUCUGGGCCGAUACUGACGCUGAGGAGCGAAAGCGUGGGGAGCGAACAGG